GUUUCUUCCUAGGUUUUUGGCCUUUCUAGGGAGUUUUUCCUAGGGAGUUUUUCCUAGCCACCGUGCUUCUUUCACAUGCAUUGCUUGCUGUUUGGGGUUUUAGGCUGGGUUUCUGUACAGCACUUUGAGAUAUCAGCUGAUGUACGAAGGGCUAUAUAAAAAUGUUUGAUUUGAUUUGAUCUGUAUUCAUUUAUAUCCACUAGAUGGCACUGUGCGCAGUGUGUAAGAGUGAGAGCAAGCAAUUACACUGGAGAGCUGAUGAAAUCCAUCAUUGACAUGAGAAAGUUAGCUUCUUGCUAGCUGAAUACCAGUGCUCUCAGAACCACGUUGUGAAGUUGAUGAUAACCUUAUUUGAAGCUGCAGUAUGGGUGAGAUGAGGAUCUACUGUUCCAUGUGGUGUUAGGGUAUCACCUGGACAAUAUUUAUUUUACAGAGCCACUACCAUUUAGGCAUUUCACUUUGUACUUAUUGUACUCAGAUUGUUUUUAUGCUGAUUUAUUCACUUGAUUGUGAUUUAGACUGAACUUUACUUGAUGGGGACUUCCCUUCUACAUUAUCCUAUUUUAAAUGUAAGAUUCGACAGAAUAAACAGC
rnacentral:lncRNA from 1 species